UUAUGACCAUUCCACAUUGAAAACACCAAUUCUCAUGCAAUCACCAAAGUUAAGCAAAGUGAAGUGUACUCAGUAACUAGAUGGGUGACCACUUGGUAAUACCAGGUGCUGUAAG